AAUGAAGUGCCUGAUUAAAGGGCUAUCGUGAUAGGGUAGAUUAUGUAAUUAAAUUACCUUCAUUA
rnacentral:tRNA from 1 species